rnacentral:tRNA from 1 species
GGGCAGUUAGCUCAGUUGGUAGAGCGCUACAUUUACACUGUAGAUGUCGGGGGUUCAAGUCCCUCACUGCCCA